rnacentral:rRNA from 1 species
GCUCAACCGAAGAAGUGCAUCGGAAACUGGGAAACUUGAGUGCAGAAGAGGACAGUGGAACUCCAUGUGUAGCGGUGAAAUGCGUAGAUAUAUGGAAGAACACCAGUGGCGAAGGCGGCUGUCUGGUCUGUAACUGACGCUGAGGCUCGAAAGUAUGGGUAGCAAACAGGAUUAGAUACCCUGGUAGUCCAUACCGUAAACGAUGAAUGCUAAGUGUUGGAGGGUUUCCGCCCUUCAGUGCUGCAGCUAACGCAUUAAGCAUUCCGCCUGGGGAGUACGGCCGCAAGGCUGAAACUCAAAGGAAUUGACGGGGGCCCGCACAAGCGGUGGAGCAUGUGGUUUAAUUCGAAGCUACGCGAAGAACCUUACCAGGUCUUGACAUACUAUGCAAAUCUAAGAGAUUAGACGUUCCCUUCGGGGACAUGGAUACAGGUGGUGCAUGGUUGUCGUCAGCUCGUGUCGUGAGAUGUUGGGUUAAGUCCCGCAACGAGCGCAACCCUUAUUAUCAGUUGCCAGCAUUCAGUUGGGCACUCUGGUGAGACUGCCGGUGACAAACCGGAGGAAGGUGGGGACGACGUCAAAUCAUCAUGCCCCUUAUGACCUGGGCUACACAUGCGCUACAAUGGUCGGUACAACG